rnacentral:rRNA from 1 species
UGGGGAAUAUUGCACAAUGGGCGAAAGCCUGAUGCAGCGACGCCGCGUGCGGGAUGACGGCCUUCGGGUUGUAAACCGCUUUCGGCAGGGAAGAAGCCGUAAGGUGACGGUACCUGCAGAAGAAGCGCCGGCUAACUACGUGCCAGCAGCCGCGGUAAUACGUAGGGCGCAAGCGUUGUCCGGAAUUAUUGGGCGUAAAGAGCUCGUAGGCGGUUCGUCGCGUCUGCUGUGAAAUCCUCAGGCUCAACCUGGGGCGUGCAGUGGGUACGGGCGGUCUGGAGUGCGGUAGGGGUGACUGGAAUUCCUGGUGUAGCGGUGGAAUGCGCAGAUAUCAGGAGGAACACCGAUGGUGAAGGCAGGUCACUGGGCCGCAACUGACGCUGAGGAGCGAAAGCAUGGGGAGCGAACA